GGGUAGUUUGACUGGGGCGGUCUCCUCCCAAAGAGUAACGGAGGAGCACGAAGGUUGGCUAAUCCUGGUCGGACAUCAGGAGGUUAGUGCAAUGGCAUAAGCCAGCUUAACUGCGAGACGGACAGGUCGAGCAGGUACGAAAGUAGGUCAUAGUGAUCCGGUGGUUCUGAAUGGAAGGGCCAUCGCUCAACGGAUAAAAGGUACUCCGGGGAUAACAGGCUGAUACCGCCCAAGAGUUCAUAUCGACGGCGGUGUUUGGCACCUCGAUGUCGGCUCAUCACAUCCUGGGGCUGAAGUCGGUCCCAAGGGUAUGGCUGUUCGCCAUUUAAAGUGGUACGCGAGCUGGGUUCAGAACGUCGUGAGACAGUUCGGUCCCUAUCUGCCGUGGGCGUUGGAUGAUUGAAGGGAGUUGCUCCUAGUACGAGAGGACCGGAGUGAACGAACCUCUGGUGUUCGGGUUGUCACGCCAGUGGCACUGCCCGGUAGCUAAGUUCGGAAUCGAUAACCGCUGAAAGCAUCUAAGCGGGAAGCGAGCCCUGAGAUGAGUCAUCCCUGACCCCUUGAGGGUCCUAAAGGGCCGUUGGAGACCACAACGUUGAUAGGUGGGGUGUGUAAGCGCGGCGACGUGUUGAGCUAACCCAUACUAAUUACCCGUGAG
rnacentral:rRNA from 1 species